rnacentral:rRNA from 1 species
UGGCCAGACUCCUACGGGAGGCAGCAGUGGGGAAUAUUGGGCAAUGGGCGCAAGCCUGACCCAGCAACGCCGCGUGAAGGAAGAAGGCUUUCGGGUUGUAAACUUCUUUUAAGAGGGAAGAGCAGAAGACGGUACCUCUUGAAUAAGCCACGGCUAACUACGUGCCAGCAGCCGCGGUAAUACGUAGGUGGCAAGCGUUGUCCGGAUUUACUGGGUGUAAAGGGCGUGCAGCCGGGAGUGCAAGUCAGAUGUGAAAUCCCGCGGCUCAACCGUGGAAUUGCAGUUGAAACUGGAGGCCUUGAGUGCACACAGGGAUGCCGGAAUUCAUGGUGUAGCGGUGAAAUGCUUAGAUAUCAUGAAGAACUCCGAUCGCGAAGGCAAGUGUCCGGGGUGCAACUGACGCUGAGGCUCGAAAGUGCGGGUAUCAAACAGGAUUAGAUACCCGGGUA